rnacentral:misc_RNA from 1 species
GGCCAGGCCAACUCCAUUAUCACUUUCAAAGGCUAAGGAAGGGAGUACAUAAUACAAGAAAUUAAAUAAUAAUAGCAACAAAUGAUCUCUUUAAAUUAUAGAUGCAUGACAUGCCAAGCAUUUUGAUGAAACCAUAUUGUGAAGACACCUACCAACACAUUUAUCCAAAACUGUUGCUAAUGAUCCAAACUUCAGAAGUCCAAACUGAACUAUAACUAGGAAAAAUUCAGCUGUACAACUUAUUCAGCAAUCACUUUUAUCACCAAUAAAACAGUGAAGUUUUGAGAAUCACAAACUCUCACUUCCCAUCCCCUCCAAGAGAAG